GACGAACGCUGGCGGCGUGCCUAACACAUGCAAGUCGAGCGGAGGUACAAUGAGAGCAAUCGAGAUGUACUUUAGCGGCGGACGGGUGAGUAACGCGUGAGCAACCUGCCUAUCACAGGGGGAUAAGGCGGCGAAAGCCGCUCUAAUACCGCAUGAGACCCUCAAAGCGAUGCAAUGGGGGUGAAAGGAGCGAUCCGGUGAGAGAUGGGCUCGCGUCCGAUUAGGUAGUUGGUAGGGUAAGGGCCUACCAAGCCAAUGAUCGGUAGCCGGCCUGAGAGGGUGAACGGCCACAUUGGAACUGAGAGACGGUCCAAACUCCUACGGGAGGCAGCAGUGGGGAAUAUUGGGCAAUGGGCGGAAGCCUGACCCAGCAACGCCGCGUGAGGGAAGAAGGUUUUCGGAUUGUAAACCUCUGUUCUUGGGGGAAGUAGGAGGGAGACGGGUACCCAAGGAGGAAGCCCCGGCUAACUACGUG
rnacentral:rRNA from 1 species